GGCUGAUCUGAGUACAGUAGUAUUCACAACUAAAUGAUGCCUUCUCCACUCCCACUGCUUCACUUGACUAGCCUUUA
rnacentral:Y_RNA from 1 species